rnacentral:rRNA from 1 species
CAGCCGUAAACUAUUCGCGUUAGGUGUACUGGUGACCACGAGUCACCGGGGUGCCGAAGGGAAACCGUGAAACGUGCCGCCUGGGAAGUACGGUCGCAAGGCUGAAACUUAAAGGAAUUGGCGGGGGAGCACCGCAACGGGAGGAGCGUGCGGUUUAAUUGGAUUCAACACCGGAAAACUCACCAGGGGAGACUGUUACAUGAAACCCAGACUAAUGAUCUUGGUUGAUUUCAGAGAGGUGGUGCAUGGCGUCAGUGACU